rnacentral:rRNA from 1 species
UCUUAUGUACAUUCUUAUAAUGUUAAUGCAGUGGAUCCCAUUAGAACUUCACAGUUAAGCAUGCCUGGGAUAUAGUAGUCUUGGGAUGGGUGACAACAAAAGUAGGAUGAUAAGAUUGUAUAGGAG